GAUUUUUAAAAAUAUAUAUAUUUUAUUGAUUUUAGAGAAGGAAGGGAGAGAUAGAAACAUCAAUGAUGAGAGAGAUCAUGGAUUGGCUGCCUCCUGCAUGCCGCACACUGGGGAACGAGCCCGCAACGGGGCAUGUCCCCUGACUGGGAAGUGACCUGUGUCCUCCUAAUUCAUAGGUCAACAUCCACCCCUGAGUCAUGCUGCCGAGAUGCAGGCAGAUACUCAUGUUCUGCCAGUAGCAUGAGUUUCUUAGGCAACAUGUCUCCCCCUCCACCCAGGUGUGAAACACCCUGGAUGUU